AUACGGAGGAUGCGAGCGUUAUCCGGAUUUAUUGGGUUUAAAGGGAGCGUAGGUGGGAUAUUAAGUCAGCUGUGAAAGUUUGGGGCUCAACCUUAAAAUUGCAGUUGAUACUGGUUUCCUUGAGUACGGUACAGGUGGGCGGAAUUCGUGGUGUAGCGGUGAAAUGCUUAGAUAUCACGAAGAACUCCGAUCGCGAAGGCAGCUCACCGGGCCGGAACUGACACUGAUGCUCGAAAGUGCGGGCAUCAAACAGGAUUAGAUACCCUGGUAGUCCGCACAGUAAACGAUGAAUACUCGCUGUUUGCGAUACACUGUAAGCGGCCAAGCGAAAGCGUUAAGUAUUCCACCUGGGGAGUACGCCGGCAACGGUGAAACUCAAAUGAAUUGACGGGG
rnacentral:rRNA from 1 species